GACGAACGCUGGCGGCGUGCCUAAUACAUGCAAGUCGAACGAGAGCGACCGGUGCUUGCACUGGUCAAUCUAGUGGCGAACGGGUGAGUAACACGUGGGUAACCUGCCCAUCAGAGGGGGAUAACAUCCGGAAACGGAUGCUAAAACCGCAUAGGUCUUCGAACCGCAUGGUUUGAAGAGGAAAAGAGGCGCAAGCUUCUGCUGAUGGAUGGACCCGCGGUGCAUUAGCUAGUUGGUGAGGUAACGGCUCACCAAGGCCGUGAUGCAUAGCCGACCUGGGAGGGUGAUCGGCCACAUUGGGACUGAGACACGGCCCAAACUCCUACGGGAGGCAGCAGUAGGGAAUCUUCCGCAAUGGACGCAAGUCUGACGGAGCAACGCCGCGUGAGUGAAGAAGGUUUUCGGAUCGUAAAACUCUGUUGUUAGAGAAGAACAAGUGCUAGAGUAACUGUUAGCGCCUUGACGGUAUCUAACCAGAAAGCCACGGCUAACUACGUG
rnacentral:rRNA from 1 species